ACGAACGCUGGCGGCAUGCCUAACCCAUGCACGUCGAACGAGACCUUCGGGUCUAGUGGCGCACGGGUGCGUAACGCGUGGGAAUCUGCCCUUGGGUUCGGAAUAACAGUUGGAAACGACUGCUAAUACCGGAUGAUGACGUAAGUCCAAAGAUUUAUCGCCCAGGGAUGAGCCCGCGUAGGAUUAGCUAGUUGGUGGGGUAAAGGCCUACCAAGGCGACGAUCCUUAGCUGGUCUGAGAGGAUGAUCAGCCACACUGGGACUGAGACACGGCCCAGACUCCUACGGGAGGCAGCAGUGGGGAAUAUUGGACAAUGGGCGAAAGCCUGAUCCAGCAAUGCCGCGUGAGUGAUGAAGGCCUUAGGGUUGUAAAGCUCUUUUACCCGGGAUGAUAAUGACAGUACCGGGAGAAUAAGCCCCGGCUAACUCCGUG
rnacentral:rRNA from 1 species